rnacentral:rRNA from 1 species
AUGCACGCUGGCGGCGUGCCUAAUACAUGCAAGUCGAGCGAACAGACGAGGAGCUUGCUCCUCUGACGUUAGCGGCGGACGGGUGAGUAACACGUGGAUAACCUACCUAUAAGACCGGGAUAACUUCGGGAAACCGGAGCUAAUACCGGAUAAUAUAUUGAACCGCAUGGUUCAAUAGUGAAAGACGGUUUUGCUGUCACUUAUAGAUGGAUCCGCGCCGCAUUAGCUAGUUGGUAAGGUAACGGCUUACCAAGGCAACGAUGCGUAGCCGACCUGAGAGGGUGAUCGGCCACACUGGAACUGAGACACGGUCCAGACUCCUACGGGAGGCAGCAGUAGGGAAUCUUCCGCAAUGGGCGAAAGCCUGACGGAGCAACGCCGCGUGAGUGAUGAAGGUCUUCGGAUCGUAAAACUCUGUUAUUAGGGAAGAACAAAUGUGUAAGUAACUAUGCACGUCUUGACGGUACCUAAUCAGAAAGCCACGGCUAACUACGUG